GUUUUCCCCAAUCCACACCCCGCGUUCCCCAGCCAAUCCAUCCUCGCCUCGUCCCACUCCCGCAUCAGCCACCACCCAAACCCUAGCCCACUUUCCCCUCAAUCCCCACAACAUCUCCCGCCUCAAUCCCUCCACCUCGCGUCACCACGGCCUCCGCCCCGGAGCCUCGCCGCCUGCUAUUCCUCGCCGCCCCUGCGAGCUCGGUGGCGGGAUGAAUGGAUAGGGGAGGUGGGCGAGGAGGGUUACUCCACCCACCAGAUCCACGCCGCCCCUGCCCAAAUCCUCUCCGCGUGCGCUGCACCCAAUCCCGUCCUCGCUCGUCUCGUCCGACGGCCAGGUCCCCAUCCUCCUGCGGUUCCCCUCCCUUUCUUCCUUCUCCUCCCUCACGACACGCCUCAUGUCUCCAUCUCGCGUCCUUGCUGCCGCCACAGCCUCUCCAGGAGGCUCGCCCUCCGUGCUGCAAAGCAGCAGGCCCGAACCUGGAGGAGGAAGAGGAGAUCCCGGGGUCUAGACGGUGGCUCGGUACAGUUCCUUUUCGAUAUGUUCUUCAUGGCGCCGAUGGCUUCCACGGUGCAGAGGAAAGUAUGCGUGCCUUCUGCUGGAAAGGGCUCGGUGGUUGGGAGAGUAGCGCCAUGAAUGAUGAAUGUUGGCGAUCUUUUUAUUGUGACACAACGCUUUCGAGUUUCAUGAGACAUGGCCAUUCUCAAAGGGUUUAAACUCCACAUGGUCAGUAGAAUGGGUAUCUAAAAGGACCAAGAUCUAACUGAGUUAAAAAAGUACGUUGCCACUGCCUCGGUGUUUAUAACAGUGGUGCUUGUUCUGAAUUGAAUGAUCUAUGGAUGGUGAAGGAUGUGCGGACAAUAAGGAGAUGGAAAAUGAAGCAAUGCUAUGGGAGAAAAUUGAGGGAGAACAGUUGGCCGCCGUCCAUGAAUGGGAAGGCAGCAGACCUGUGGUGUUUGCAGAAUCAACAGGAAAAAUGACCCUCCAAGCUCCAGGAUGGACUAAAAGGUAUCUUUGAAUAUUGCAUCUUCUCAGGAUUAUUGAAGUAGAUAUGUCUUAACUAGAAGUAGGGGCGAUUCAACUAUUUUGGUCAGUUUCGGAGGAUCCUAUUCCUAUAUGACAAAAAAUAAUUACACAAAGUACACUGAUUGUUUCUGAAAAUGGAAAGUGAAACCAAUUAGUUAGGUACAGGACAAGGUACACGCAAGCUGAACAAAGGGAGGAGUGGGGAAGAGUGGUGUUUGAGGUUAAGGUGACUGAUAGUGGCACUGAAUUUUAGUGUGUGUGGACCUUUUGACCACGUGGGUGUGCUCUGUCAUAUAAUGAAGGUAUAAAAUUGCUAGCAUGCUAUGACAGUUUUACAUUGAUGAUGGUUAGGCUAGCCUACUCCCUGUAGAUUUUACAGUGAAAAAUUGAAGGAAUAUGGUAAACCAUUUUAUUUAUUUUUCGAGAAGUGCAAGAUCCUAGGUUUUCAUUCGAUGUUACUGAUAAUUGUCAAUAAAUAAUUAUAUGCAAGAUUGUUUGUUGAUGACCAGUAAAUUUGUCAAAGUGGGAUUUUAGAAUAUAAAAAUAUGUUUACUAUUGAUUUUGUUUAAUAUCUAAAAAUGCAGACCAGUUCUUUAGUGAAUUUUAAAAUUUCCCUUCUUUAUAGACAAGGUUUUAGUUUUGUUUGGUUGUUAAUCUGGUGUAUACAGAGAUUUGUUACCAGCCUAUGGGAAAAACAUCACUAUCUAUUUAUUCUCUCACAUGAGCGCAAAUGAAUGAGCCUCAAUGUCUCCAGGAAAUUUUAUGUAGACAUUAAUCCAUCACUUUCAUGUCAUGUUAUACUUUUCUAGGCUUUUUUUGUCAGAUAAUAUAUGAUUUGGGAUCUAUGUUUUUGAGUCGUCUGUUGGAUGCCAAUGAAAAUCUGGUGAAGGUAUUUCUUUAGUUUGAGAGCGUUGACCGGUUCUGCUGAGGACAAAUCCAAACAGAUAGUUCUCUGGUUCUCUAGAUUAUAAUUAAUAGGAUGGAAGUUUAGGUUUUCUGAAGAUGUUUUCCUUGGAGAGGCGGGGUCUGCUUUGGUUUCUUACUCUUGGGCUCUUCCCUAAAAUACUUGACCGGAUGCCACUGAUAGUUAAUUAAUACAUUAAUAGCUUGGAUGGUUCUGUAUUUUUUCUCUUUAGAUUUAUAACUCUUCAAGAAUUAUAAUGGAGUAUUUUCUAGGUUAUCUUGAUCUAGAGCUUUUAUCGCCUCUUCAGUAAUCUACUGGAGAAAAACUUUGACGUGAAGCAUCCCGUCGGAUAUCUAUUCCUACCAAUACAUAUACCUGCUAUUUGCUGUCAUGUGUAAUGCAUACUAUAUGGUAUGGUAUCCACUUAUUCAGGAUUCCUCUGAAGUAAGGAAUUUGUAUUACCAGAAGUAUUAUCUAAGUGAUAUUUUUCGGGAUUGGUGUACUUCUGCUCUUGGUAGGAGAUCCUUGACCAGGACACUAUUCUACAAAAGCAGCAAAUGGUUGAGAAAGAUCUAAAACUCGGAGAGAAGAGAGAGGGAAAAGAGAACGGGGAGGCGAGGAGCACCUGCAUCACAUCAUGUGGCUGCAGCAGGUCGGCCUCCGUCAUCGGCUUCUUCCUGCUAGGACAGGGCAGGACAGGGUGUGGCGACAAGGAGUGGUAGACAAGAAGGGCGAUGUAGUAGUUGACGAGGACGGCGAUGGAGAUAGCGAGCAACGUGAGGAGGAAGUGGAGGUCGGUGGGGAAGGCCUCCCGCCCGCGAGAUCACCACCAUGCCUUCUCCGACUACUUGCUGCUUGACAACAUGAUCAGAAGCUCAUUAUCGUCUUGUCUAGCAUUGCUGUUAUUCUAAACCUGGUCCGGCCUCAAAAUAAACUGAAAUAGGGGAGUUGUUGGUCAAACAAAUAAUUCUGCAUGUUUGGACACUCAGUUUUCUGCACUUUAGUCAUCUGUAUGGUUUGUGUUCAUGAAUAAUCAGUGGCUGGCAUCAUUUUAUAUUUGCACCGUUUGAGUGCUGAUUACAGUAGGUCUACAUUUUUUAGUCAAAGUGUUUUUAGGUUACUUUGUUCUUUCAGUUUUCUGUCAGUAGUUUGUUCAAUUCGUAUGCUUGGGAUUUGUUUGAUUGACGGACCUUAAAGCUGAUGCAAUAAUGCUUGCCAACCAAAAGGCGGUUCUUCUGUUAA